rnacentral:rRNA from 1 species
AGCGUACACGGUGGAUGCCCUGGCAGUCAGAGGCGAUGAAGGACGUGCUAAUCUGCGAUAAGCGUCGGUGAGGUGAUAUGAACCGUUAUAACCGGCGAUUUCCGAAUGGGGAAACCCAGUGUGUUUCGACACACUAUCAUUAACUGAAUCCAUAGGUUAAUGAGGCGAACCGGGGGAACUGAAACAUCUAAGUACCCCGAGGAAAAGAAAUCAACCGAGAUUCCCCCAGUAGCGGCGAGCGAACGGGGAGGAGCCCAGAGCCUGAAUCAGUGUGUGUGUUAGUGGAAGCGUCUGGAAAGGCGUGCGAUACAGGGUGACAGCCCCGUACACAAAAAUGCACAUAUUGUGAGCUCGAUGAGUAGGGCGGGACACGUGGUAUCCUGUCUGAAUAUGGGGGGACCAUCCUCCAAGGCUAAAUACUCCUGACUGACCGAUAGUGAACCAGUACCGUGAGGGAAAGGCGAAAAGAACCCCGGCGAGGGGAGUGAAAAAGAACCUGAAACCGUGUACGUACAAGCAGUGGGAGCCUCUUUAUGGGGUGACUGCGUACCUUUUGUAUAAUGGGUCAGCGACUUAUAUUCUGUAGCAAGGUUAACCGAAUAGGGGAGCCGAAGGGAAACCGAGUCUUAACUGGGCGUUAAGUUGCAGGGUAUAGACCCGAAACCCGGUGAUCUAGCCAUGGGCAGGUUGAAGGUUGGGUAACACUAACUGGAGGACCGAACCGACUAAUGUUGAAAAAUUAGCGGAUGACUUGUGGCUGGGGGUGAAAGGCCAAUCAAACCGGGAGAUAGCUGGUUCUCCCCGAAAGCUAUUUAGGUAGCGCCUCGUGAAUUCAUCUCCGGGGGUAGAGCACUGUUUCGGCAAGGGGGUCAUCCCGACUUACCAACCCGAUGCAAACUGCGAAUACCGGAGAAUGUUAUCACGGGAGACACACGGCGGGUGCUAACGUCCGUCGUGAAGAGGGAAACAACCCAGACCGCCAGCUAAGGUCCCAAAGUCAUGGUUAAGUGGGAAACGAUGUGGGAAGGCCCAGACAGCCAGGAUGUUGGCUUAGAAGCAGCCAUCAUUUAAAGAAAGCGUAAUAGCUCACUGGUCGAGUCGGCCUGCGCGGAAGAUGUAACGGGGCUAAACCAUGCACCGAAGCUGCGGCAGCGACACUAUGUGUUGUUGGGUAGGGGAGCGUUCUGUAAGCCUGUGAAGGUGGCCUGUGAGGGUUGCUGGAGGUAUCAGAAGUGCGAAUGCUGACAUAAGUAACGAUAAAGCGGGUGAAAAGCCCGCUCGCCGGAAGACCAAGGGUUCCUGUCCAACGUUAAUCGGGGCAGGGUGAGUCGACCCCUAAGGCGAGGCCGAAAGGCGUAGUCGAUGGGAAACAGGUUAAUAUUCCUGUACUUGGUGUUACUGCGAAGGGGGGACGGAGAAGGCUAUGUUGGCCGGGCGACGGUUGUCCCGGUUUAAGCGUGUAGGCUGGUUUUCCAGGCAAAUCCGGAAAACCAAGGCUGAGGCGUGAUGACGAGGCACUACGGUGCUGAAGCGACAAAUGCCCUGCUUCCAGGAAAAGCCUCUAAGCAUCAGGUAACAUCAAAUCGUACCCCAAACCGACACAGGUGGUCAGGUAGAGAAUACCAAGGCGCUUGAGAGAACUCGGGUGAAGGAACUAGGCAAAAUGGUGCCGUAACUUCGGGAGAAGGCACGCUGAUAUGUAGGUGAAGCGACUUGCUCGUGGAGCUGAAAUCAGUCGAAGAUACCAGCUGGCUGCAACUGUUUAUUAAAAACACAGCACUGUGCAAACACGAAAGUGGACGUAUACGGUGUGACGCCUGCCCGGUGCCGGAAGGUUAAUUGAUGGGGUUAGCGGCAACGCGAAGCUCUUGAUCGAAGCCCCGGUAAACGGCGGCCGUAACUAUAACGGUCCUAAGGUAGCGAAAUUCCUUGUCGGGUAAGUUCCGACCUGCACGAAUGGCGUAAUGAUGGCCAGGCUGUCUCCACCCGAGACUCAGUGAAAUUGAACUCGCUGUGAAGAUGCAGUGUACCCGCGGCAAGACGGAAAGACCCCGUGAACCUUUACUAUAGCUUGACACUGAACAUUGAGCCUUGAUGUGUAGGAUAGGUGGGAGGCUUUGAAGUGUGGACGCCAGUCUGCAUGGAGCCGACCUUGAAAUACCACCCUUUAAUGUUUGAUGUUCUAACGUGGGCCCCUAAUCGGGGUUGCGGACAGUGUCUGGUGGGUAGUUUGACUGGGGCGGUCUCCUCCUAAAGAGUAACGGAGGAGCACGAAGGUUGGCUAAUCCUGGUCGGACAUCAGGAGGUUAGUGCAAUGGCAUAAGCCAGCUUGACUGCGAGCGUGACGGCGCGAGCAGGUGCGAAAGCAGGUCAUAGUGAUCCGGUGGUUCUGAAUGGAAGGGCCAUCGCUCAACGGAUAAAAGGUACUCCGGGGAUAACAGGCUGAUACCGCCCAAGAGUUCAUAUCGACGGCGGUGUUUGGCACCUCGAUGUCGGCUCAUCACAUCCUGGGGCUGAAGUAGGUCCCAAGGGUAUGGCUGUUCGCCAUUUAAAGUGGUACGCGAGCUGGGUUUAGAACGUCGUGAGACAGUUCGGUCCCUAUCUGCCGUGGGCGCUGGAGAACUGAGGGGGGCUGCUCCUAGUACGAGAGGACCGGAGUGGACGCAUCACUGGUGUUCGGGUUGUCAUGCCAAUGGCACUGCCCGGUAGCUAAAUGCGGAAGAGAUAAGUGCUGAAAGCAUCUAAGCACGAAACUUGCCCCGAGAUGAGUUCUCCCUGACUCCUUGA